rnacentral:rRNA from 1 species
AGGACGAACGCUGGCGGCGUGCCUAAUACAUGCAAGUCGAACGGCUUUUCUAUGGAAGCUUGCUUCCACUGAGAAGAUAGUGGCGAACGGGUGAGUAACACGUGGGUAACCUGCCCAUAAGAGGGGGAUAACAUCCGGAAACGGGUGCUAAUACCGCAUAGUUUUCUUGAUUGCAUGAUUGAGAAGGAAAGACGGCCUUUGUGCUGUCGCUUAUGGAUGGACCCGCGGCGUAUUAGUUAGUUGGUGAGGUAACGGCUCACCAAGACGAUGAUACGUAGCCGACCUGAGAGGGUGAUCGGCCACAUUGGGACUGAGACACGGCCCAAACUCCUACGGGAGGCAGCAGUAGGGAAUCUUCCGCAAUGGACGAAAGUCUGACGGAGCAACGCCGCGUGAGUGAAGAAAAGGUUUUCGGAUCGUAAAACUCUGUUGUCAGAGAAGAACAAGUUGGAGAGUAACUGCUCCAGCCUUGACGGUAUCUGACCAGAAAGCCACGGCUAACUACGUGCCAGCCGCUGC